UCCCAGCUGUAAACGAUGCAGGCUAGGUGUUGGCGCGGCUACGUGCCGCUCCAGUGCCGCAAGGAAGCCGUUAAGCCUGCCGCCUGGGAAGUACGGCCGCAAGGCUGAAACUUAAAGGAAUUGGCGGGGGAGCACCACAAGGGGUGAAGCUUGCGGUUUAAUUGGAGUCAACGCCGGAAAUCUCACCGGGGGCGACAGCAGGGUGAAGGCCAGAUUGAAGGUCUUGCCAGACAAGCUGAGAGGAGGUGCAUGGCCGUCGCCAGUUCGUGCCGUGAGGUGUCCUGUUAAGUCAGGCAACGAUCGAGACCCGCGUCCCCUGUUGCCACCGGCCUUUGAGCCGAGCACACUGGGGAGACUGCCGCCGAUAAGACGGAGGAAGGAGCGGGCCACGGCAGGUCAGUAUGCCCCGAAUCCCCCGGGCCACACGCGAGCUGCAAUGGCAGGUACAG
rnacentral:rRNA from 1 species